rnacentral:misc_RNA from 1 species
GAAAUGCGAUAAGUAAUGUGAAUUGCAGAAUUCCGUAAUCAUCGAAUCUUUGAACGCACAUUGCGCCCUCUGGCAUUCCGGGGGGCAUGCCUGUCCGAGCGUCAUUACGCACCCUCAAGCCCGGCUUGUGUGAUGGGCCCCGGCGUCUCGUUCGCGAGACGGGCCCGAAAGGCAGCGGCGGCGUCGACCCGAUGAGCCCGAGCGUAUGGGGACUUCUGUCACACGUUCGCGGUGCGGACCGGCGCCUGCUUGACUUUUCUGAUUAUCCAGGUUGACCUCGGAUCAGGUAGGGAUACCCGCUGAACUUAAGC